AUUGAACGCUGGCGGCAUGCCUUACACAUGCAAGUCGAACGGCAGCAUAGGAGCUUGCUCCUGAUGGCGAGUGGCGAACGGGUGAGUAAUAUAUCGGAACGUGCCCUAGAGUGGGGGAUAACUAGUCGAAAGACUAGCUAAUACCGCAUACGAUCUACGGAUGAAAGUGGGGGAUCGCAAGACCUCAUGCCCCUGGAGCGGCCGAUAUCUGAUUAGCUAGUUGGUGGGGUAAAAGCUCACCAAGGCGACGAUCAGUAGCUAGUCUGAGAGGACGACCAGCCACACUGGGACUGAGACACGGCCCAGACUCCUACGGGAGGCAGCAGUGGGGAAUUUUGGACAAUGGGGGCAACCCUGAUCCAGCAAUGCCGCGUGAGUGAAGAAGGCCUUCGGGUUGUAAAGCUCUUUUGUCAGGGAAGAAACGGUUCUGGAUAAUACCUGGGACUAAUGACGGUACCUGAAGAAUAAGCACCGGCUAACUACGUGCCAGCCGCCGCGGUAA
rnacentral:rRNA from 1 species